GACGAACGCUGGCGGCGUGCUUAACACAUGCAAGUCGAACGGUAAGGCCCUUCGGGGUACACGAGUGGCGAACGGGUGAGUAACACGUGGGUGAUCUGCCCUGCACUUCGGGAUAAGCCUGGGAAACUGGGUCUAAUACCGGAUAGGACCACUGCCUGCAUGGGUGGUGGUGGAAAGCGUUUGCGGUGUGGGAUGGGCCCGCGGCCUAUCAGCUUGUUGGUGGGGUGAUGGCCUACCAAGGCGACGACGGGUAGCCGGCCUGAGAGGGUGACCGGCCACACUGGGACUGAGAUACGGCCCAGACUCCUACGGGAGGCAGCAGUGGGGAAUAUUGCACAAUGGGCGCAAGCCUGAUGCAGCGACGCCGCGUGUGGGAUGACGGCCUUCGGGUUGUAAACCUCUUUCAGCACCGACGAAGCGCAAGUGACGGUAGGUGCAGAAGAAGGACCGGCCAACUACGUGCCAGCCGCCGCAGUAA
rnacentral:rRNA from 1 species